rfam:Schistosoma mansoni, Puerto Rico, WGS project CABG01000000 data, contig: 0232
ACACUGCUGAGGAGUCUCGUAAUAGGACGAAACGGCCGUCCAGUGC